rnacentral:rRNA from 1 species
CACGUAGGGGGCAAGCGUUGUCCGGAUUUAUUGGGCGUAAAGAGCUCGUAGGCGGUUCGGUAAGUCGGGUGUGAAACCUCCAGGCUCAACCUGGAGACGCCACCCGAUACUGCUGUGACUAGAGUCCGGUAGGGGAGCGUGGAAUUCCUGGUGUAGCGGUGAAAUGCGCAGAUAUCAGGAGGAACACCGGUGGCGAAGGCGGCUUGCUGGGCCUUACCUGACGCUGAGGAGCGAAAGCGUGGGGAGCGAACAGG